UUGCAAAACCCUUGUUGAACAUAAACCCCUCUUCCUUCCUUCCUUCCUUCCUUCCUUCGUACAACCGCAACCCAUUUCUGCUUUCACAAUGAAAUCAAUUCUAAACCCAAAGUUUUCAUCUUUAUCUUGCAAUUUCCCCAAACUCUCUUCUUUCUCUCUCUUUUCACAUCCUCUUCAAUUCUCAAUCCUUUUCCGUAACAACCCAUCUUCAUUUUCCAACCCUCUUCGCCUCAACUCAACAAAACCCUUUAUUCCCAAUUCUCAAAAUCGAACCUUUCAAGCUUCAUCAUCUACUUCUGGUGAUAUUCAUGUCAUUGUGGGUCCCAUGUUCGCCGGUAAAACAUCUUCGCUUAUUCGUCGGAUUCAGUCGGAGUCUGGCAAUGGCAGGUCAAGUCUUGCAAAAAAUACUCAGAAUUUGGAUAAGGUUCUCCAAGGUCUGUGUGUAUCUGGAAAAUUGGAAGAUGCAAUUAGGCUCUUGUACCGCACGGGAUUUCCGGUGCACCCGAGAACCUAUUCCUUGAUGCUGCAGGAAUGUAUAUUCUGGAAAAAUUAUGGUAGGGGAAGAAGAAUUCACGCACACAUGAUCAUUGUUGGAUAUGUUCCCAAUGAAUACUUAAAGAUCAAAUUGUUGAUACUAUAUGCAAAAUCAGGUUGUCUAGAAACUGCACAGUUUCUAUUUAAUAACUUGGUGGAGAAGGACUCGUUUGCAUGGAAUGCAAUGAUAGCUGGCUAUGUUCAAAAAGGCCUUGAAGAAGUUGGAUUGGAAACUUUUUAUGAGAUGAGACAGGCUAGUUUGAGACCUGAUCAGUAUACCUUUGCAUCAGUUUUCAGAGCCUGUGCAACUUUGGCGUUGUUAGAACCUGGGAGGCAAGCCCAUGGUGUAAUGUUGAAAUGUCAAAUUGGGGACAAUGUUGUAGUAAAUAGUGCAUUAAUAGACAUGUAUUUUAAAUGCAGUUGUAUUUGCGAUGGACGAUUGCUGUUCGAUAAGUGUUUGAGUAGAAAUACCAUAACUUGGACUACUCUGAUAUCUGGGUAUGGUAAGCACGGACAAGUUGUGGAGGUUUUAGAUUCUUUUCAUAGAAUGAUAUCUGAAUCAUUUAGACCAAAUUAUGUUACUUUUCUCGCAGUUUUGGUUGCUUGUAGCCAUGUGGGUUUGAUUGAUGAAGCAUAUAAAUAUUUUCAAUCAAUGAUAAGAGACUAUGAAAUGGUGCCUCAUGCUAAACAUUAUGCUGCAAUGGUUGACCUUUUAGGGCGUUCUGGGAAGUUAAAAGAGGCUUAUGAAUUUGUUCUGAAGUCACCUUAUAAAGAGCACUCAGUGAUAUGGGGUGCCUUGCUUGGGGCUUGUAAGAUUCAUGGUGACUUAGACUUGUUAAAAAUUGCAUCUAAGAAAUAUUUUGAAUUUGAACGUGUAAAUACUGGAAAGUAUGUUGUCUUGGCAAAUGCUUAUGCUUCCUCAGGUUUGUGGGAUGAUGUUGAGGAAGUUAGGGCUUCAUUGAGGGAAUCAGGGGUGACAAAGGAGCCUGGUUAUAGCAGGAUUGAGGUUCAAAAGGAGGUUUCUUUCUUUUUUAACGGUGAUAAAUAUCACCGACAAGCUGAUGAGGUUUAUUGGGUAAUUAGAGAGAUUACCUCUAUAUUAAAGGAUGCAGGCUAUAUUCCUGAUUUAAGUAGAACCUGAUAAAUGCAUACCUUAUGCAGUAGAAAACAAGGGGCAUUUAUUUCUGCUGCUUAAAAUUUUGGUUGAGCCAAUUUGCAAUGUACCUGCUAGUUAUACACAAUUCUUCAGGGAUUCAAACAUGUUCUGGUUUACAAUGAAAGCUGCUGAAUUGUAGGUUGUAAAUUUGAAACAGAACGCUGAAACACAUGGGACAUUGUGCUGUACUAUGCACAUUCUUCAGGUUGCUGGGAAUAGCGUUCCUUUGAUGCUACGCAAUUUUUUUCGUUAUUGGGUUUGCCAUAUACUUCGCACGUUUCUGCAUUUGGCAAGCUAUUGGGUGAUAGCCAACUAGCAAUUUUUUCUUCCAGGGAACCGACGGAAAGAGUUUACAAAGAGAGCUAGAAAAUGUGGCAAUAAUUAAAUCAAGCAAGGAUACAAGAUAUGGAUUAGAUUCAAUUGUUACUCAUGAUGGUACAAAAUUACCAUGUUGGGCACUAUCAAAUUUAUCAUCAUUCAAGCAGAAGUUUGGAGUUGAUGCUUAUGAUCAGAUGAUGACAGCUGGACGUGAUUGGCAUUGAUGAAGCUCAAUUCUUUGACGACCUUUAUGAUUUCUGUCGUGAAGCUGCUGAUCAUGAUGGAAAAACUGUAAUAGUUGCAGGGCUAGAUGGUGACUACUUGAGG